rnacentral:rRNA from 1 species
UACGAAGGGGGCUAGCGUUGUUCGGAAUUACUGGGCGUAAAGCGCACGUAGGCGGGCGAUUAAGUCAGGGGUGAAAUCCCGGAGCUCAACUCCGGAACUGCCUUUGAUACUGGUCGUCUAGAGAUCGGAAGAGGUGAGUGGAAUUCCCAGCGUAGAGGUGAAAUUCGUAGAUAUUGGGAAGAACACCGGUGGCGAAGGCGGCUCACUGGUCCGAUACUGACGCUGAGGUGCGAAAGCGUGGGGAGCAAACAGG